GAUCACAGGUGUGAGCCACCGCGCCCGGCCUUAAGUUUGUUUUCAAAGUGCGUUUCAAACUUAAAUAAACCCAGGCUCAGCAAUGAAAGGAUUCAGGUUAUUACAUUCUGAUUGUCCAGGGAGCAGGCAGUGCGGCUGGCUCCCCGGGAGAAUGCUGGAUCGUUCAUUCAGCGAGUGCGCAUGCCUAGAAGACGAUCUGCCAGCUGCACAGACACGCUGCCACUUGCUGUGCGUUCAUCUCCGUCAGCGCAUAGAGACCGGGAGCCACCUCCUGACUGAGGCACCAGACUCUCUCCGACCUUUCAAGAUGACCUGCUAAAAUACCAUCUUGAGGAUUUUCUACUGAGAUUCCAUAGAACCUUUCUAUUUCAGUUCCCCCAGGCUCUACUGGGAGUAUUAUGAUCAUCCUUGAUGAAAGGAAGGGCAGCAUUUUAAUUCCUUCCUUCCUUCAACAAAACAUGAUUGGGCACCUACUGCAUGCCAGGAACUGUGCUCCACAGUGCCUGUCUCAGGGCAAUCCCUUUCUAGUAGGGGAGCUCAUCAAAUACUAAUACGUAGAAAAAUUAACUGAUUUGUAAACCAAUGCAGGAUAGAAUAGAAUAGUUGAUGUAUUUAUUUAAUUACAGUUAACAAAAUAAUAGUAUUUAUUAAUACAUGGCAACUCUUAUGUAGUACUUAUUACAUGCUGGGUGGUGUCCUCAGCAGUUAAUAUAUUAAUUCAUUUUAUGCUUUCCUAUUUUGCAAAUGAGGGAACUAGGAAACCAAAAGGUUAAGAGCAUAUAUAUAUAUACUUUUUUUUUUAGACGAAGUCUCACUCUGUCACUCAGGCUGGAGUACAGUGGUGUGACCUCAGCUCACUGCAACCUCCGCCUCCAAGGUUCAAGUGAUUCUCCUGCCUCAACCUCCUGAGUAGCUGGGAUUACAGGUGCCUGCCACCAUUCCUGGCUAAUUUUUGUAUUUUUAGUAGAGAUGGGGUUUCACCAUCUUGGCCAGGCUGGUCUUGAACUCCUGACCUCAAGUGAUCUGCCUGCCUCGGCCUCCAGAAGUACUGGGAUUACAGGCAUGAGCCACCAUGCCUGGCCAGGUUAAGUAUAUUUUAAAAGUCCCACAGCUGGUGAAGUGCCCGGUGAAUAUGAAGGUCAGCCAUUCGGAUUUGAGAGUCCCCCUGGUAACCACACAGCACUUCUGUGCAUGCUCUUUACCGAUCUCCCAUAAAAGGUGGACGAGACAAUGCAGAGAACUGACAGAUUCCACAAAGGAACAAAAGGUUUAGUGGUGUUUAUGCCUCAAUUUGAAAGUGGAAUUUCAAAGUCCACUGAAAGUCUUUCUCUGAAGAGUGAAUUGUCUUUAUCCCUUAGCGUCUCUCCUGAAAGCUCUUAUUUGGGAACAUGGAAGUUGCCUUGAGGACUGUCAGUCGGCCACAGCAAAGGCAAAGUUUCCAGAUAAAACGAGGCACCUGCCAG
rnacentral:lncRNA from 10 species